rnacentral:rRNA from 1 species
AUUGAACGCUGGCGGCAGGCCUAACACAUGCAAGUCGAGCGAGCGGCGGACGGGUGAGUAAUGUCUGGGAAACUGCCUGAUGGAGGGGGAAAACUACUGGAAACGGUAGCUAAUACCGCAUACCAUCAGAUGUGCCCAGAUGGGAUUAGCUAGUGGGUGGGGUAAUGGCUCACCUAGGCGACGAUCCCUAGCUGGUCUGAGAGGAUGACCAGCCCCACUGGAACUGAGACACGGUCCAGACUCCGACGGGAGGCCGCAGUGGGGAAUAUUGCACAAUGGGCGCAAGCCUGAUACUGCCAUGCCGCGUGUGUGAAGAAGGCCUUCGGGUUGUAAAGCACUUUCAGCGAGGAGGCGUUACUCGCAGAAGAAGCACCGGCUAACUCCGUGCCAGCAGCCGCGGUGAUUC